rnacentral:rRNA from 1 species
AACGAACGCUGGCGGCAGGCCUAACACAUGCAAGUCGAACGCCCUAGCAAUAGGGAGUGGCAGACGGGUGAGUAACACGUGGGAACCUUCCCUAUAGUACGGAAUAUACCAGGGAAACUUGGAGCAAUACCGUAUACGCCCGAGAGGGGAAAGAUUUAUCGCUAUAGGAUGGGCCCGCGUAGGAUUAGCUAGUUGGUGAGGUAAUGGCUCACCAAGGCGACGAUCCUUAGCUGGUUUGAGAGAACGACCAGCCACACUGGGACUGAGACACGGCCCAGACUCCUACGGGAGGCAGCAGGUGGGGAAUAUUGGACAAUGGGCGCAAGCCUGAUCCAGCCAUGCCGCGUGAGUGAUGAAGCC